AGAGGGACUAUGUGUAUUGAAACACAUGGAAGUUUGAGGCAAUAACAGGUCUGUGAUGCCCUUAGAUGUGGUCGGCCGCACGCGCGUUACAAUGAUAAAUUCAGAAAGUUUACCUGGUUCGGAAGAAUUCAGGGUAAUCUUUGUAAUAUUUAUCGUGUUAGGGAUCGAUCUUUGCAAUUAUAGAUCUUGAACGAGGAAUGCCUAGUAAGUGCGCUUCAUCAGAGCGUACUGAUUACGUCCCUGUCCUUUGUACACACCGCCCGUCGCUCCUACCGAUUUCGAAUUAUCCGGUGAAUCUUCUGGACUGAAGUAGCAAUACAUCGGGAAGUUAGAUAAACCUUAUAAUUUAGAGGAAGGAGAAGUCGUAACAAGGUUUCCGU
rnacentral:rRNA from 1 species